GAUGAAGAACGUAGCGAAAUGCGAUAAGUAAUGUGAAUUGCAGAAUUCAGUGAAUCAUCGAAUCUUUGAACGCACAUUGCGCCCCUUGGUAUUCCAUGGGGCAUGCCUGUUCGAGCGUCAUUUGUACCCUCAAGCUCUGCUUGGUGUUGGGUGUUUGUCCCGCUUUUGCGCGUGGACUCGCCUUAAAGCAAUUGGCAGCCGGCACAUUGGCCUGUAGCGCAGCACAUUUUGCGCCUCUUGUCAAGGUUGUUGGCGUCCAUCAAGACCAUUUAUUUGCUCUUGACCUCGGAUCAGGUAGGGAUACCCGCUGAACUUAAGCAUAUCAAUAAGCGGAGGA
rnacentral:misc_RNA from 1 species